rnacentral:misc_RNA from 1 species
UCCGGUUUGUCACCGGCAGUCUCAUUAGAGUGCCCAACUGAAUGUAGCAACUAAUGACAAGGGUUGCGCUCGUUGCGGGACUUAACCCAACAUCUCACGACACGAGCUGACGACAGCCAUGCAGCACCUGUGUUCCCGUUCCCUUUCGGGCACAGCCCCCUUUCAGGGGCCUCCAGGACAUGUCAAGGGUAGGUAAGGUGGGGAUGACGUAUGGAAUGUCGAU